rnacentral:rRNA from 1 species
CAGGAUGAACGCUAGCUACAGGCUAACACAUGCAAGUCGAGGGGCAGCAUGGAGUUGCUGCAAACUCUGAUGGCGACCGGCGCACGGGUGAGUAACGCGUAUCCAACCUUCCCUAUAGUAGAGGAUAGCCCGGCGAAAGUCGGAUUAAUACUCUAUGUUUUCCGUUGCAGACAUCUAAGAUGGAACAAAGGCUUGCCGCUAUAGGAUGGGGAUGCGUCUGAUUAGGUAGUCGGCGGGGUAACGGCCCACCGAGCCAUCGAUCAGUAGGGGUUCUGAGAGGAAGGUCCCCCACAUUGGAACUGAGACACGGUCCAAACUCCUACGGGAGGCAGCAGUGAGGAAUAUUGGUCAAUGGACGAGAGUCUGAACCAGCCAAGUUAAGCGUGCAGGACGACGGCCCUAUGGGUUGUAAACUGCUUUUAUGCGGGGAUAAAGUUCACUACGUGUAGUGUUUUGUAGGUACCGCAUGAAUAAGGACCGGCUAAUUCCGUGCCAGCCGCCGC